CGGAACGUAGCGCAGAGGGAGCGCGCCUGCUCGGGGUGCAGGAGGUCGCAGGUUCAAGUCCUGCCGUUCCGAC
rnacentral:tRNA from 1 species